UUAAGUGGCGGACGGGUGAGUAACGCGUGGGUAACCUGCCGUAUACAGGGGGAUAACACUUAGAAAUAGGUGCUAAAACCGCAUAAGCGCACAGCGCCGCAUGGCGCAGUGUGAAAAACUCCGGUGGUAUACGAUGGACCCGCGUCUGAUUAGCCAGUUGGCAGGGUAACGGCCUACCAAAGCGACGAUCAGUAGCCGGCCUGAGAGGGUGGACGGCCACAUUGGGACUGAGACACGGCCCAAACUCCUACGGGAGGCAGCAG
rnacentral:rRNA from 1 species